GGACAGCCAGUCCCUGGAGCCGAGGCCUGGCAUGUGUGGGGCAGGGGCUCCCGAUGAGGAAGGUGGGAAAGACAGGGGAAGGCCCCCCUGGACCCUUGGGGAGCCCAGCGGCAGGGCAGGGUGUCAGCAGGUGGCCGCAGGAGUUGCUCUGCGUCCACUUUCUCUAAGCACAGAACCGGCAACCAAGCCGGGCCCCCCGCUUGCAGUUGUGAAGUGGACCCUCUCCCCGUCAGCUCUGCUCUCCUGCCUCCGGCUGUGGGUCCUGUGAGGGAUUCCCGGGCCAUGUGGGGGGCCCGCCUGUGCCCUCUCUCCUCUCUAUGCCCCAGGGACACUGCUGCAGAGCAGUGCUGGGUUUAGCUGGUGGGACCCGGGGACACGGCUAACGCUUCCCAGAAAGGCGACCCUUGGGCAUGUGGGGGGUGUGGUGUGUGUGUGUGUGUGUGGUGUGUGAGGUCUGUGUGUGGUGUCAAUGUGAGGUCUGUGUCUGGUGUGUGUGUGAGGUCUGUGUGUGGUGUCAAUGUGAGGUCUGUGUCUGGUGUGUGUGUGAGGUCUGUGUGUGUGAAUGUGGGGUCUGUGUGUGUGUGGUAUAUGUGUGUGAUGUGUGUGUGUAGUGUGUGAGGUCUGUGUAUGGUGUGUGUGAGGUCUGUGUGUGUGUGGUGUGUGAGGUCUGUGUGUGGUGUCAAUGUGAGGUCUGUGUCUGGUGUGUGUGUGAGGUCUGUGUGUGUGAAUGUGGGGUCUGUGUGUGUGUGGUAUAUGUGUGUGAUGUGUGUGUGUAGUGUGUGAGGUCUGUGUAUGGUGUGUGUGAGGUCUGUGUGUGUGUGGUGUGUGAGGUCUGUGUGCAGUGUGUGUGUGAGGUCUGUGUGUGUGUGUAUUGUGUGAGGUCUGUGUGUGUGUGGUGUGUGUAAGGUUUGUGUGUAUGUGAUGUGUGAGGUCUGUGUGUGUGUGGUGUGUGUGAGGUCUGUGUGUGUGGUGUGUGCAGUGUGAGUGUAUGUCUGUGUGGUGGCAUCUGUGUGUGUGUGGUGUGUGGGGUCUGUGUGUGUGUGAGGUCUGUGUGUGGUGUGUGUGUUAGGUCUGUGUGUGUGGUGUGUGAGGUCUAUGUGUGUGUGUGGUGUGUGUGAGGUCUGUGUGUGGUGUUUGUGUGAGGUCUGUGUGUGUGUGGUGUGUGAGGUCUGUAUGUGUGUGUGUGGUGUGUCUGAGGUCUGUGUGUGGUGUGUGUGUGAGGUCUGUGUGUGUGUGGUGUGUGCAGUGUGAGUGUAUGUCUGUGCGGUGGCAUCUGUGUGUGUGGUGUGUGAGGUCUGUGUGUAGUGUCAAUGUGAGGUCUGGUCUGUGUGUGGUGUCAAUGUGAGGUCUCUGUGUGGUGUGUGAGGUCUGUAUGUGUGUGUGUGUGUGUGGUGUGUCUGAGGUCUGUGUGUGUGGUGUGUGAGGUCUGUGUGUGUGUGGUGUGUCUGAGGUCUGUGUGUGUGGUGUGUGAGGUCUGUAUGUGUGUGUGAGGGCUGUGUGUGAGGUCUGUGUGUGUGUGGUGUGAGAUCUGUGUGUGUGUGAGGUCUGUGUGUGUGUGGUCUGUGUGUGGUGUGUGUGUGAGGUCUGUAUGUGUGUGAGGUCUGUGUGUGGUGUGUGAGAUCUGUAUGUGUGAGGUCUGUGUCUGUGUGUCGUGUGUGAGGUCUGUGUGUGGUGUGAGAGCUGUGUGUGUGUGAGGUCUGUGUGUGGUGUGUGAGGUUUGUAUGUGUGUGGUGUGUGUGAGGUCUGUGUGUGGUGUGUGAAGUUUGUGUGUGUGUGUGGUAUGUGUGAGGUCUGUGUGUGGUGUGUGAGGUUUGUGUGUGUGUGUGGUGUGAGAUCUGUGUAUGUGUGAGGUCUGUGUGUGCUGUGUGAGGUUUGUGUGUGUGUGGUGUGUGAGGUCUGUGUGUGUGUGGUGUGUGCAGUGUGAGUGCGUGUAUGUGUGUGGUGACAUCUGUGUGUGUGUGGUGUGUGAGGUCCGUGUGUGUGUGGUGUGUGUGAGGUCUGUGUGUGGUAUGUGAGGUUUGUGUGUGGUGUGAGAUCUGUGUGUAUGAGGUCUGUGUGGUGUGUGAGGUUUGUGUGUGAGGUCUGCGUGUGUGCUGUGUGCAGUGUGAGUGCGUGUAUGUCUGUGUGGUGGCGUCUGUGUGUGUGUGGUGUGUGAGGUCCGUGUGUGUGUGGUGUGAGGUCUGUGUGUGUGGCGUGUGUGAGUGGGUGUAUGUGUGUGUCUGUGUGGGUGUUGUAUGUGUGUGUCGUGUGUGUUUGGGGGCUGAGGUCCCAUGUAGACAGAAGUCAGUGCCAAAGCCACAAACUCCUCCCGACCCCCCGCCUGCCAUUUGAACACUUGUCCCGACAUGCCCUGUCCUGGGGCGCCAGGACCCACUCACUCAUUUACUCCUUGCUGGGGCUGCCUUGGCUCCCCGAGAGGUGGGCGGGAGGCGAGCAUGAGGAGAGAGGGGCGGCUGGGUC
rnacentral:lncRNA from 1 species